rnacentral:rRNA from 1 species
AUUGAACGCUGGCGGCAGGCCUAACACAUGCAAGUCGAGCGGAUGAAGGGAGCUUGCUCCUGGAUUCAGCGGCGGACGGGCGAGUAAUGCCUAGGAAUCUGCCUGGUCGUGGGGGAUAACGUCCGGACACGGGCGCUAAUACCGCAUCCGUCAUGAGGGUGAAAGUGGGGGAUCUUCGGACCUCACGCUAUCAGCUGAGCCUAGGUCGGAUUAGCUCGCUGCUGGAGUAAACGCCUAACAAGGCGACGUACCGUAACUGGUCUGAGUGGAUGAUCAGUCACACUGGGACUGAGACACGGGCCAGACUCCUACGGGGGGCAGCAGUGGGGAAUAUUGGAGAAUGGGCGGAAGCCUGGUCCAAGCAUGCCGGGUGGGGGAAGAAGGUCUUCGGAUUGUAAAACACUUGAAGUUGGGAGAAAGGACAUUAAGUUAAUACCUUGCUGUUUUGACGGUACCAACAGAAGAAGCACCGGCUAACUUCGUG